rnacentral:tRNA from 1 species
GUUCUUGAGGUGUAAAAUGCACAUUAGGUUUUCAUCCUAAAGGAGUAAAGAGAAAUUUAUCUAGAAUA